AAAGAAGCAAACUUGUCAAAGAGGUGUGUGUGCUGGGCGGGGCUGUGCAGUGCAGCAACUGUGAAGUCUCCUCCACUGCAUACUUGCACUUGCGAAGAGUAAAGCAGCCAAGAAGAGGAAGAAAGAUGGAACUGAACGAAGAGGAGACCAUUCUUAUUCCUGCACAAAGUGAUGCGUCCGUUUCUCCUGAGAUAUGACUCAAGAAGGAGGUGGAGUCUCAGCUGCCUGACAAAGUGGAGUACGUCAUUAAGUGUGACAUGUCGGCUCUACAGAGACAAAUGUACGGACACAUGCUGAAGAAGGGUAUAUUGCUUACGGAUGGGUCAGAGAGGGACAGGAAGGUAUGUACGUAAAUGGGGGGAUUUCUUAACUGUUCAACAUGAAACGUAGCCUCGAUUCCAAGCCGCUGAGAAAGACGGCCUGGUAUACACUGUUUACGCAUGCGCCAGAAUUACCCAGAAUCUGGGUAAUCGUAAAUUGCAGUAUAUUUAUCAGUAUUCUUAUUCCGCAUUAGUUUGUAAAACAUUGAUAUCCGUUUCAUUUAUAAUGAUGUCAUUGAAAAAAGAAAUCUAGUCCAAGUUGUGUAAUGGCUGCUACCUUCUCUUCUGCUCUCACGUACGCGUUAUCCUGUGUUGGAAAACCAGGUCUAGUCUUGAAAGACAAGCAGCUGGAGGCGUUAAAGUGUCUGUACGCUGGUGUUUAUGUGGGUACCGUACCGACCGGCUAUGGCAAGUCCCAGAGCAAGUCCAUCUGCUUUCCAGACACUCCCUUUCUUGAUUGAUGUGAAGCUUGACAGGACCAGUGCAACUCUCUCUGAAAGAAGUGUUGUGAUGGUGAUUUCUCCUCUUGUUUCUCUGAGUGAAGCCAUCUUCAAAGUGUUGGUGUGUCUGUUCGACGUUCAGUGCCAUUCUCUCUGGAAGGAAGUAUUGUUGUGACAUUUGCCGAAAAUUGGUCACAGAGUAAGUACGUGGUAUCUGAUCCGAGAACUGUGUGGCCUGAAUGUGUUUACAAUCCGAGGGACUUGUGUGUAUCCGAUCCGAGGGACUUGUUGCUUGAGUGUGUAUUAAUGGAUAGUGCUUUCAAUGGUUUAACUAAUUUCUUAUGAGAUUAACUUGUCGCCUGAGUGUGUAUCCGAUCCGAGCCUCAAGUUAAUGAAUAAAUCUACAGAGCUGAUGUUUUACUUAGCUGUCUCUGUCUACAGUAUAUACAGAGAGGUAGCCUCUCCUUUUUCUUUUUUCUGUUCUUUAUGGCAAUAAGAUAAAAUACUGUUUUAACGUUCAAUGAGAUAAAAUACGGUAAAU